rnacentral:rRNA from 1 species
GAUGAACGCUGGCGGCGUGCCUAAUACAUGCAAGUCGAGCGAACGGACGAGAAGCUUGCUUCUCUGAUGUUAGCGGCGGACGGGUGAGUAACACGUGGAUAACCUACCUAUAAGACUGGGAUAACUUCGGGAAACCGUAGCUAAUACCGGAUAAUAUUUUGAACCGCAUGGUUCAAAAGUGAAAGACGGUCUUGCUGUCACUUAUAGAUGGAUCCGCGUUGCAUUAGCUAGUUGGUAAGGUAACGGCUUACCAAGGCAACGAUGCAUAGCCGACCUGAGAGGGUGAUCGGCCACACUGGAACUGAGGCACGGUCCAGACUCCUACGGGAGGCAGCAGUAGGGAAUCUUCCGCAAUGGGCGAAAGCCUGACGGAGCAACGCCGCGUGAGUGAUGAAGGUCUUCGGAUCGUAAAACUCUGUUAUUAGGGAAGAACAUAUGUGUAAGUAACUGUGCACAUCUUGACGGUACCUAAUCAGAAAGCCACGGCUAACUACGUG